UGGCCAACGGCUGAGAACCACUUAAAGGUUGUCUGGGCUGAUCCCUUGUCCCACUGUUCCAAAACCACCUCUGGAUUCAGUGUCUUCUCCAUCCUAUUCGUGGUUGGGGAUAAGACAUGGAGAAUGAGGAAGAGACUUGAGUUCCUCUCUCUCCGAAUGCACAAUGGAGCAGAGGAUGAGGUGGGAAUGUCAACGACUCUUUGGAGUGCUGAACAGCAUGAUUAAACAGGUCAGGCAGCAAGCUGGAGGGAUUUUGUGUGUAUACGUCUGAGUGCAUGCCUUAUAAGACUAGAAGUGUGAGCCAGCACAUUUACAGCUCAGGAUGUCAUGGUGAAGACGUGGAUGAUGGCAGCAGGCUCACUUUGACUGAUGCAGAUUUAUGAUGAUUGACGGGAGUUUAUCACCACAGAUAGACUACGGAUCAUGUAAACGCUGCUGUAUUGCUGCAAUUUCAGACCUCAUUGACAAGCAUCUGCUUCUACUGUAUUGGGUUUAACUGAUUACAUUUACCUGCAGGUGUCCUCACUCAGUUAACUGUGCUUCAAACCAACACACCCACAACAACUGAGUUCACAGGCGGUGAAGCUGUCUGAUGAAAGCUGUGAAGAGUUUACAUUUCACUAUCCGCAUUCAUUAAGAGCGCACUUCAUCAUUUUCUACAUACAUUACCAUUUAUGAAGAGGAACUGCUUCUGAAGCAGAUGAAGAUGUGGGUCAUGUAAUACUCUCAUAAAACGCCCUCCAUACAGCAAAACUGUGUCUGCAGCAUAUAACAAAUGUUCACAGUGAAACCUCAACACUCUAUUUCACUUAACUAAACCAAUAACUGUCUGUACAGACUUGACCUUACAUUAAAUGCAAUCAUACACAUUGGUUCCACUUUCUCUUGAUCCUUCAAA